AGAGUUUGAUCCUGGCUCAGGACGAACGCUGGCGGCGUGCUUAACACAUGCAAGUCGAACGAGAAUCUACUGAAAGAGUUUUCGGACAAUGGAAGUAGAGGAAAGUGGCGGACGGGUGAGUAACGCGUGAGGAACCUGCCUUGAAGAGGGGGACAACAGUUGGAAACGACUGCUAAUACCGCAUGAAGCAUAGGGGUCGCAUGAUUCUUAUGCCAAAGAUUUAUCGCUUCAAGAUGGCCUCGCGUCUGAUUAGCUGGUUGGCGGGGUAACGGCCCACCAAGGCGACGAUCAGUAGCCGGACUGAGAGGUUGAACGGCCACAUUGGGACUGAGAUACGGCCCAGACUCCUACGGGAGGCAGCAGUGGGGAAUAUUGGGCAAUGGGCGCAAGCCUGACCCAGCAACGCCGCGUGAAGGAAGAAGGCUUUCGGGUUGUAAACUUCUUUUAAGAGGGAAGAGCAGAAGACGGUACCUCUAGAAUAAGCCACGGCUAACUACGUGCCAGCAGCCGCGGUAAUACGUAGGUGGCAAGCGUUAUCCGGAAUUAUUGGGCGUAAAGAGGGAGCAGGCGGCAGCAAGGGUCUGUGGUGAAAGCCUGAAGCUUAACUUCAGUAAGCCAUAGAAACCAGGCAGCUAGAGUGCAGGAGAGGAUCGUGGAAUUCCAUGUGUAGCGGUGAAAUGCGUAGAUAUAUGGAGGAACACCAGUGGCGAAGGCGACGAUCUGGCCUGCAACUGACGCUCAGUCCCGAAAGCGUGGGGAGCAAAUAGGAUUAGAUACCCUAGUAGUCCACGCCGUAAACGAUGAGUACUAAGUGUUGGAUGUCAAAGUUCAGUGCUGCAGUUAACGCAAUAAGUACUCCGCCUGAGUAGUACGUUCGCAAGAAUGAAACUCAAAGGAAUUGACGGGGGCCCGCACAAGCGGUGGAGCAUGUGGUUUAA
rnacentral:rRNA from 1 species